GGGAAGUGCCGCGCAGAGGCAGGGACCGGCGCAGGGGCACGCGGCUUGCGGGGGCCCAGAAAGGUCUUCAUUUAGCUUUGACAGCGCAGAAAGUGGAAACGUGAAAGAAGCGCUGCUUCCACUGCUUCCAAAAUGAUUCACUCCUGCAGCCUGGCGCCCAGUCUCAAGAAAAUAACAAAACAAAAAGCUGUCAAGAGGAAGCCUGGAACACGCUUGCAGAGCUUCCUGGGGAAGAUCUCCUCCCGAGGGACUGAGGCCCUGGGCAGCGCCUUUCCUACCCUCCACGCAGCUAUACAGCUCUCACCUCCCAGCUCCGAUCUGUCCUAAAAGCUCUUACACCCCCUCCACACCUAGUUAAGCCGCAUUUUCUUCUUCACCCUCGUACCUGUUGCAGAGAACCACAUCGAAGCCAGGUCACUGCGGCUGCGGAAGCGUUAAGGAUGACAACGGUGGUAAAAGAACUGGCUUAUCCGAGCGCUGCGUGGGCUAAUCAUAAAUACUCCCACGCGCUAGCUGCUGUGUGGGGAGUGCUCACUGAGGGUGGCAGCUGUGGGCUCUGAGGACUGCUGGAACUACUUAAAGGAACUCGAGGGCUGCUAAAACAGAUUCAGUGUUCGAUAUGCGCUGGCUCCCUAGAAUCCAAGUAGAAAAAUAGCUGCCAAGGUGCAUGAAGUCACUUUUGUGUCCCUCCCCCCAUCUGUGCCUUUGAGAGGUGAUACAGCUCAGCAUUUUGUGUCUCGUUAUCCAGAUUUGCAGAUGUGGUAUAAAUCUAAAGGGCUUUCAUAGCAGGAAGUGGUAGGUGGAGACAUCCUCAGGGCUAAGACACAGCUGCCAGGGAAACUCUGGUGGGUGGGAGGAGGAGGCAAAAGACCAGGCCUGGUGAGCGAGAGCCUUCCCAGGGACCAUCUCAGCUGAGAGCCAGCGAGAUAGGGAGGGUGCGACUGAGCUGCGGUGCCUGCAGCGGGGCUCGUCCAGCACACAAUUUGUUAGGGCCAGAUGUGGAACGCAACUGCCUCCUUUGUGGGAUAGAGACGUGAAACCGGAGCUACGCGACUCCCCUUUGCUGCUCCGCCUCACCUUCCCCCCGAUCUCCAAGUGGAAGAGGAAACUUCAUAAAAUAAGGGCAUUAUACCCUUAAAGCCAAAAUAACCUUUUCUCUCCUCCUGGUAUUGUCAGAACUCUGACAGUCUCUACAGGAGCAAAAACCCCACUGGUCUAAACUGAGACCCAGUCUUCAGCCUAGAGAUGAAAAGUGGGUUUUCCAGAUGACGUGCAUGGAAAUUCCAGCUGCAGUGAUUUCUUUAUAGUGUAUAACACUCCCCCCCCCCCCACCUUCAGGCCGGCUCUGAGAGGGCACCAUUAGGAGGCACAUUGGCAACAUUCAGUGAUUCAAGUUGGUUGGAGCCACUGACGUCCACUGGGCUAUGUGGACAAUACAUAGAGUAUACGAUAGUCAGAGCACAUGCGUCCACUAAAUCCAAUUGCUUGCCAACUUCUCGGGGGGGGGGGGAGAAAAAAAAAUCACCAUUAAUUAGGUCCUGAUUUUAUUGGGACACCCUGCAAAAUUAAUUUAGUGGUCUGCCUGUGGGCCAAAACAGCUGUUACGGAGUUGCAAGUAAGAAUUUGAUAUAAAGCACUAGCAUGGGAGAAAAAUCAGAUUUCCAGAUAGAAACUCUGAACUUGCACGUAAAUAACACUGUGAGAUCAGAGGUUUGGGUUGCAGGUCAGACAGAGGUGGAGAUGGCUUCUCUGGGACUCGAAGGCAAGAGCAUGUCACUUAAUGGCUCAAAGGCUUUUUUUUUUUUUUUUUUU